rnacentral:SRP_RNA from 1 species
GCCGGGUGCGGUGGCGCACGCCUGUAAUCCCAGCACUUUGGGAGGCCGAGGUGGGUGGAUCAUCUGAGGUCAGGAGUUCGAGGACUAGCCUGACCAACAUGGAGAAACCCAUCUCUA